rnacentral:rRNA from 1 species
AUUGAACGCUGGCGGCAGGCCUAACACAUGCAAGUCGAGCGGAUGAAGAGAGCUUGCUCUCUGAUUUAGCGGCGGACGGGUGAGUAAUGCCUAGGAAUCUGCCUGGUAGUGGGGGAUAACGUUCCGAAAGGAACGCUAAUACCGCAUACGUCCUACGGAAGAAAGCAGGGGACCUUCGGGCCUUGCGCUAUCAGAUGAGCCUAGGUCGGAUUAGCUAGUUGGUGAGGUAAUGGCUCACCAAGGCGACGAUCCGUAACUGGUCUGAGAGGAUGAUCAGUCACACCGGAACUGCGACACGGUCCAGAGUCCUACGGGAGGCAGCAGUGGGGAAUAUUGGACAAUGGGCGAAAGCCUGAUCCAGCCAUGCCGCGUGUGUGAAGAAGGUCUUCGGAUUGUAAAGCACUUUAAGUUGGGAGGAAGGGCAGUAAGUUAAUACCUUGCUGUUUUGACGUUACCGACAGAAUAAGCACCGGCUAACUUCGUGCCAGCCGCCGCCGUAAGAC